rnacentral:rRNA from 1 species
AAGCGGAGGAAAAGAAACCAACAGGGAUUGCCUCAGUAACGGCGAGUGAAGCGGCACCAGCUCAAAUUUGAAAUCUGGCCCUCCCCCGCGGGGGGCCCGAGUUGUAAUUUGGAGAGGAUGCUUCUGGCGCGGCGCCGUCCGAGUUCCCUGGAACGGGACGCCGGAGAGGGUGAGAGCCCCGUACGGGCGGCCGCCAAGCCUCUGCGAAGCUCCUUCGACGAGUCGAGUAGUUUGGGAAUGCUGCUCUAAACGGGAGGUAAAUUUCUUCCAAAGCUAAAUACCGGCCAGAGACCGAUAGCGCACAAGUAGAGUGAUCGAAAGAUGAAAAGCACUUUGAAAAGAGAGUCAAACAGUACGUGAAAUUGUUGAAAGGGAAGCGCCUGUGGCCAGACUUGCGCCCCGCGGACCACCCGGCGCCCCGGCGCCGGGGUACUCCGCGAGGCGCAGGCCAGCAUCGGCUCCCCUGGGGCCACAAAGGCCGCGGGAACGUAGCGCCCUUGCGGCGUGUUACAGCCCGCGGCGGCAUGCCCCCGGGGGGGCCGAGGACCGCGCUUCGGCAAGGAUGCUGGCGUAAUGGCCACCGGCGACCCGUCUUGAAACACGGACCAAGGAGUCAAGCAUUGGGGCGAGUGUCUGGGUGGCAAGCCCGCACGCGGAAUGAAAGUGAACGCAGGUGGGAGCUUCGGCGCACCACCGACCGAUCCUGAUGUCCUCGGAUGGAUUUGAGUAGGAGCCCCGCCGCUUGGACCCGAAAGAUGGUGAACUAUGCCUGUAUAGGGUGAAGCCAGAGGAAACUCUGGUGGAGGCCCGCAGCG